rnacentral:rRNA from 1 species
GCUUACGGCCAUACCACCCUGAGAACGCCCGAUCUCGUCUGAUCUCGGAAGCUAUGCAGGGUCGGGCCUGGUUAGUGCUUGGAUGGGAGACCGCCUGGGACUACCAGAUGCUGUAAGCU